UCGAGAAUAUUCGACAAUGGGCGAAAGCCUGAUCGAGCGACGCCGCGUGCAGGAUGAAGGCCUUCGGGUCGUAAACUGCUUUUUACUGGGAACAAGUUCCGCGCAAGCGGGAUUGAGCCUACCAGUAGAAUAAGGAGCUGCAAACCAUGUGCCAGCAGCCGCGGUAAUACAUGGGCUCCAAGCGUUAUCCGGAUUUAUUGGGCGUAAAGGGUCUCCAGGUGGUUUGGUUAGUCAGGCGUUAAAUCCCGCUGCUCAACGGCGGAACCGCGUCCGAAACGGCCAAACUCGAGGGAUGGAGGGGGAGUAGGAACUCACAGUGUAGGGGUGAAAUCCGUUGAUAUUGUGGGGAACACCAAAAGCGAAGGCAAACUCCUGGCCAUCUCCUGACACUCAUGAGACGAAAGCGUGGGUAGCGAACAGGAUUAGAUACCCGCGUAGUCC
rnacentral:rRNA from 1 species